rnacentral:rRNA from 1 species
GACGAACGCUGGCGGCGUGCUUAACACAUGCAAGUCGAACGGAAAGGCCCCCUUGUGGGGUACUCGAGUGGCGAACGGGUGAGUAACACGUGAGUAACCUACCCUUGACUUUGGGAUAACUUCAGGAAACUGGGGCUAAUACCGGAUAGGAGCUCCUGCUGCAUGGUGGGGGUUGGAAAGUUUCGGCGGUUGGGGAUGGACUCGCGGCUUAUCAGCUUGUUGGUGGGGUAGUGGCUCACCAAGGCUUUGACGGGUAGCCGGCCUGAGAGGGUGACCGGCCACAUUGGGACUGAGAUACGGCCCAGAUUCCUACGGGAGGCAGCAGUGGGGAAUAUUGCACAAUGGGCGGAAGCCUGAUGCAGCAACGCCGCGUGCGGGAUGACGGCCUUCGGGUUGUAAACCGCUUUCGCCUGUGACGAAGCGUGAGUGACGGUAAUGGGUAAAGAAGCACCGGCUAACUACGUG